GACAGAGGAUGCAAGCGUUAUCCGGAAUGAUUGGGCGUAAAGCGUCUGUAGGUGGCUUUUCAAGUCCGCCGUCAAAUCCCAGGGCUCAACCCUGGACAGGCGGUGGAAACUACCAAGCUGGAGUACGGUAGGGGUAGAGGGAAUUCCCGGUGUAGCGGUGAAAUGCGUAGAUAUCGGGAAGAACACCAGUGGCGAAAGCGCUCUACUGGGCCAUGACUGACACUGAGGGACGAAAGCUAGGGGAGCGAAAGGG
rnacentral:rRNA from 1 species